rnacentral:rRNA from 1 species
CAGUCGAGCGGCAGCGGGACCUUCGGGUUGCCGGCGAGCGGCGGACGGGUGAGUAAUGCCUAGGAAUCUGCCUGUUAGUGGGGGAUAACGCGGGGAAACUCGCGCUAAUACCGCAUACGUCCUACGGGAGAAAGUGGGGGACCCUCGGGCCUCACGCUAACAGAUGAGCCUAGGUCGGAUUAGCUGGUUGGUGGGGUAACGGCCCACCAAGGCGACGAUCCGUAACUGGUCUGAGAGGAUGAUCAGUCACACUGGAACUGAGACACGGUCCAGACUCCUACGGGAGG